GACGAACGCUGGCGGCGUGCUUAACACAUGCAAGUCACGGGGGUCCGCAAGGACAACCGGCGAACGGGUGCGUAACACGUGAACAACCUGCCCUCGUGUGGGGGAUAGCCGGGCUAACGCCCGGGUAAUACCGCAUACGUUUCUUUGGGGGAGUCCCUGAGGAAGGAAAGCUCCGGCGCACGGGGAGGGGUUCGCGGCCUAUCAGCUUGUUGGCGGGGUAAUGGCCCACCAAGGCGACGACGGGUAGCUGGUCUGAGAGGAUGAUCAGCCACACUGGGACUGAGACACGGCCCAGACUCCUACGGGAGGCAGCAGUGGGGAAUAUUGGACAAUGGGCGCAAGCCUGAUCCAGCAAUGCCGCGUGAGUGAUGAAGGCCCUAGGGUUGUAAAGCUCUUUCGCCCGCGACGAUGAUGACGGUAGCGGGAGAAGAAGCCCCCGGCUAACUUCGUG
rnacentral:rRNA from 1 species